UACGUAGGUGGCAAGCGUUGUCCGGAUUUAUUGGGUUUAAAGGGUGCGUAGGCGGUCCUAUAAGUCAGUGGUGAAAUACGGCAGCUUAACUGUCGAGGUGCCAUUGAUACUGCAAGACUAGAGUACUGAUGAGGUAGGCGGAAUGGACGGUGUAGCGGUGAAAUGCUUAGAUAUCGUCCAGAACACCGAUAGCGAAGGCAGCUUACUAAGGAGUAACUGACGCUGAGGCACGAAAGUGUGGGGAUCAAACAGG
rnacentral:rRNA from 1 species